rnacentral:rRNA from 1 species
UUCUGGUUGAUCCCGCCGGACCUGACUGCUAUCGGAUUGAUACUAAGCCAUGCGAGUCUUUGUAGUAAUACAAGGCAGACGGCUCAGUAACACGUAGUCAACCUACCCUAUGGACGAGAAUAAUCUCGGGAAACUGAGCAUAAUUCUCGAUAGAUCAUAAUGCCUGGAAUGGUUUAUGGUUAAAAUGAUUCGUCGCCAUAGGAUGGGACUGCGGCCUAUCAGCUUGUUGGUGAGGUAAUGGCCCACCAAGGCGAUUACAGGUACGGGCUCUGAGAGGAGAAGCCCGGAGAUGGGUACUGAGACACGGACCCAGGCCCUAUGGGGCGCAGCAGGCGAGAAAACUUUGCAAUGUGCGAAAGCACGACAAGGUUAAUCCGAGUGAUUUCUGCUAAAGAAAUCUUUUACCAGUCAUAAAACCACUGGUGAAUAAGGGGUGGGCAAGUUCUGGUGUCAGCCGCCGCGGUAAAACCAGCACCUCAAGUGGUCAGGAUGAUUAUUGGGCCUAAAGCAUCCGUAGCCGGCUUUGUUAGUUUUCGGUUAAAUCCAUGUGCUCAACGCAUGGGCUGCCGAAAAUACUGCAAGGCUAGGGAGUGGGAGAGGUAGACGGUACUCAGUAGGAAGGGGUAAAAUCCUUUGAUCUAUUGAUGACCACCUGUGGCGAAGGCGGUCUACCAGAACACGUUCGACGGUGAGGGAUGAAAGCUGGGGGAGCAAACCGGAUUAGAUACCCGGGUAGUCCCAGCUGUAAACGAUGCAGACUCGAUGAUGCAUUGGCAUAUAGCCAGUGCAGUGUCGCAGGGAAGCCGUUAAGUCUGCCGCCUGGGAAGUACGUACGCAAGUAUGAAACUUAAAGGAAUUGGCGGGGGAGCACCACAAGGGGUGAAGCCUGCGGUUCAAUUGG